rnacentral:rRNA from 1 species
AACUAAGAUACCCAGGUAGUCCACGCCGUAAACGAUGAGUGCUAAGUGUUAGGGGGGUUUCCGCCCCCUUAGUGCUGCAGCUAACGCAUUAAGCACUCCGCCUGGGGAGUACGGUCGCAAGACUGAAACUCAAAGGAAUUGACGGGGGCCCGCACAAGCGGUGGAGCAUGUGGUUUAAUUCGAAGCAACGCGAAGAACCUUACCAGGUCUUGACAUCCCACUGACCGCUAUGGAGACAUAGCUUUCCCUUCGGGGACAGUGGUGACAGGUGGUGCAUGGUUGUCGUCAGCUCGUGUCGUGAGAUGUUGGGUUAAGUCCCGCAACGAGCGCAACCCUUGAUCUUAGUUGCCAUCAUUUAGUUGGGCACUCUAAGGUGACUGCCGGUGACAAACCGGAGGAAGGUGGGGAUGACGUCAAAUCAUCAUGCCCCUUAUGACCUGGGCUACACACGUGCUACAAUGGACGGUACAAACGGUUGCCAACCCGCGAGGGGGAGCUAAUCCGAUAAAACCGUUCUCAGUUCGGAUUGUAGGCUGCAACUCGCCUA